ACCCAGAUGUAAACACACUGUCGAUUCCACUAAUUCAAACGUGGAUCUGGUUAGAAGAUAAUUGCUAUGAAGAGGAGGAACUCGUGCUAAUAUUGCUUGAAAUACAGAGAAGACGGUGGCAUGCGCGCCCUUUAAAUAUUACAAGAAGGCAGCUGUGUGAUUUUAGUAUGUCUAAAACCACAUUUGCUAAUUCUAGCUUCUAACUAUGGUCGAUGGACCAGUGAAGGUGUGUUCCAAGAGACUGAAUUUGGAAAACGACUGGAUCUGCCAUCACCCGAGGUCCUGCCAGGCAUCACGACGACCAACCCUUUUGUGUUCGCGUGGAAUGCAGAAUUACAUUGUGUAUGAACCUCACGCGCCCCUAAUCCAGAUGUCAUCUCUGGGAAAGUUCAGCAGUGGUGGUUGUUACAGGCGGCAGAUGACAACUUCCUGGAUCCAGAAUGAUGCUCAAAGUCCUGCCCACACCAUCAGACACAAUUUAAAGAUAUUUUCAGUUUCCCCACUGGCCUUGUACUGUGGCUGGGCAGUGUAAUUUCAAGAGAUUUAAUGUAUUGGUAUCUGCUAAAUUUAAAUAAAUUUUGUAACAAAU